GUGAUGACUCAAACACAAAAUAUGGCUUGAUGGAAUAAUCCAGUGAGAGCAGACCACAAUGAGUACUGCGCAUCAAAAUUUGAUCAAUAGAUUGAAGCACUAAAACCAUGUCAACUCAACUAACAUCUUACAAAGAUUAAUCCAGAUAAUGAAUAAUAUAAAUUUAUUGAAUAAUAUAUAAUAAUAUAAAUGUAUUGAAUAAUACAAUUUUAAAAAAAUUAAGUACAGUUGUUAAUUUGAGGGGGUGGCGUCAUUUUUAUUUUUGGGGGGUCCCCAAAAGAAUUCGCCCGACACAAAGGGGCCCUCAGCUGAAAAAGUUUGAAAACCCCUGGUCUAAGGUGCCAGACUCAAGGUGAAUCGACUUUCUCAGUUAAUGAGAAUUCUGGUCUCCUGAUGGAGACUUCUGACAAUAGAAAUAUUAGAUUUAUUAGAUUAUGAAAAGAAACGUAGAUGAUUUACAGGUUUUUAUUGCUAGUGUUACUCUCUGAACUUUGCCUCAAUGGAGGCAUUAGUAAUGUAGUGCACUAUACCAUAGAAACACAUGUGUCAGAAUGGCUGAGUGGUUUAAGGUGCCAGACUCAAGAUGAAUCGAUCUUCUCAAGGAAUAAGGAUUCUGGUUUCCAGAUGGAGGCGUGGGUUCAAAUCCCACUUCUGACAGUGAAGUUUUCCUAUUGAUUAGAAGAGGGAAAAGAAAUGGAAAUAAUUCAAAGGUUUCUGAUGUUGCAGUUCUCUGUUGCAGUUUGCCUCAACAAGUCUUUAAUUGUGGAGUGCACCAAACCUUUGCAAAAACAUGUGUCAGAAUGGCCGAGUGGUCUAAGGCGCCAGACUCAAGGUGAACCAACUUUCUCAGUUAAUGAGAAUUCUGGUCUCCCGAUGGAGGCGUGGGUUCAAAUCCCACUUCUGACAAUAGAGAUAUUAGAUUUAUUACAAAAAGAAAUGUUGAUGAUUUACAGGUUUUUAUUGCUGGUGUUACGCUCUGAACUUUGCCUCAAUGGAGGCAUUAGUAAUCGAGUGCACUAAACCACAAAAAAGGAACGUGUCAGAAUUGCAGAGUUUUCUAAGGUGCCAGACUCAAGAUGAAUUGAUCUUCUCAAGGUUGCCUCAAUAGAUUCUUUAUUUGUGGAUUGCACCACACCACAGUAAGAAACGUGUCAGAAUGGCCGAGUGGUCUAAGGCACCAGACUCAAGUGUCCUAACAACAAAUGAUGCAACAAUAUUCCAGCGACAAGCAAUUUGUCUGCAUCAACAGUGACUCGACAUGACAGAAACACUGCACUUCCAAUGAAAUAGUAAAGGCUUUUAAUCUAAUUACCAACUUUGGCAUUAUUAAUAGGCUACAUUAUUAAUAGUGGCUGAUCAUCAGACACUCUUCCUAUAAGAUCCAGCAGAGUUAAUACCAGCUGUUCGUCUUGACCUACUUUUUUUUUUACAUGUUACUGGGAUAAAAUAAACCACUAUUUCAUAGUUUCACAUCUAGCACCAGAGUGACUUGAUUUAACAGAGACAUUCUCUGUCUCUAAUCAUCCCAAUCUGUCUCUAAUCUGUCACUAAUCAUCCUCUGCAAAAAUGAGAACUGAUAUAAUAAACUUGAUGUGAAAUAAAUGUUUGGUGGUAAUCUACCCUGUGUGAUAUUACUUAGCAAUCAUACUUGUCAUUUGUCCUUUUUUAUUGGAAAAGCACACGUAAAUUAUAUUUUUUAUAUUUUUAUUUGGUGUUGAAUAGUGAAUGCAUUCUACCAACAGUCAUGAUCUGCAUCAUAACCAGUAGAAAUUACUUCCAAUGCCCUUGAAAUCAAAUAAAACACAAGCAUCAUCUAAACAAGCUACAGUGGUAAUAAUAUUACUGAUCAUUAAAAUACAAACAAAAUAACCUUGUUGUUUAGGAUGUUCAUUUCUAAAGAGUAAAAAAACUACA